rnacentral:rRNA from 1 species
GACGAACGCUGGCGGCGUGCUUAACACAUGCAAGUCGAACGGUAAGGCCCUUCGGGGUACACGAGUGGCGAACGGGUGAGUAACACGUGGGUGAUCUGCCCUGCACUUCGGGAUAAGCCUGGGAAACUGGGUCUAAUACCGGAUAGGACUCCUGGCUUCAUGGUUGGGGGUGGGAAGCUUUUGCGGUGUGGGAUGGGCCCGCGGCCUAUCAGCUUGUUGGUGGGGUAAUGGCCUACCAAGGCGACGACGGGUAGCCGGCCUGAGAGGGUGACUGGUCACACUGGGACUGAGAUACGGCCCAGACUCCUACGGGAGGCAGCAGUGGGGAAUAUUGCACAAUGGGCGCAAGCCUGACCAUGCGACGCCGCGUGAUUGAUGAAGUCCUUCGGGACGUAAAGAUCUUUUAUGCGUGAGGAAGUUAUUGACGUUAGCGCAUGAAUAAGGGGCUCCUAACUCUGUGCCAGCAGCCGCCGUAA